rnacentral:rRNA from 1 species
AACGUAGGUGGCGAGCGUUAUCCGGAUUUACUGGGCGUAAAGCGCACGUAGGCGGCUUUCUAAGUCGGGGGUGAAAUCCUGGAGCUCAACUCCAGAACUGCCUUCGAUACUGGAAAGCUCGAGUCCGGGAGAGGUGAGUGGAACUGCGAGUGUAGAGGUGAAAUUCGUAGAUAUUCGCAAGAACACCAGUGGCGAAGGCGGCUCACUGGCCCGGUACUGACGCUGAGGUGCGAAAGCGUGGGGAGCAAACAGG